GAUGAACGCUGGCGGCAUGCCUAACACAUGCAAGUCGAGCGAACAGACGAGGAGCUUUCUCCUCUUACGUUAGCGGCGGACGGGUGAGUAACACGUAGAUAACCUACCUAUAAGACUGGGAUAACUACGGGAAACCGGAUCUAAUACCGGAUAAUAUGUUGAACCGCAUGGUUCAAUAGAUAUAGACGGUUUUGCUGUCACUUAUAGAUGGAUCCGCGCCGGAUUAGCUAGUUGGUAAGGUAACGGCCUACCAAGGCAACGAUGCGUAGCCGACCUGAGAGGGUGAUCAGCCACACUGGAACUGAGACACGGUCCAGACUCCUACGGGAGGCAGCAGUGGGGAAUAUUGCGCAAUGGGCGAAAGCCUGACGGAGCAACGCCGCGUGAGUGAAGAAGGUCUUCGGAUCGUAAAGCUCUGUUAUUAGGGAAGAACAAAAGUGUGAGUAACUAUGCCUGUCUUGACGGUACCUAAAGAAAAAGCCACGGCUAACUACGUG
rnacentral:rRNA from 1 species